rnacentral:rRNA from 1 species
UUAAGGCGUGUGGUGGAUGCCUAGACACCAAAAAGCGAAGAAGGGCGUAGCAAUCUGCGAUAAGCCUCGGGGAGCUGAUAAGCAAGCUUUGAUCCGGGGAUUUCCGAAUGGGGAAACCCAGCAUUGUAAAACAAUGUUCUCGUGUCUCACUAAUGUUCGGCACAAGGAUAUGAAUUUUUAAUUUUAAAUUUUUAAACAAUUUUUAAUGUUAUAAUUUUUAAACUAUGCUUAAAAAGUAAUUGGUUUAGAAAUUAAAAUUAAGAAUUAAAAAUUCUCUGUGGCGAGCGGUAGCGAGACACGAGGCAUACCCGCUGAAGUGAAACAUCUCAGUAGGCGGUGGAAAAUAAAUCAAUAGAGAUUCUCCUAGUAGUGGCGAACGAACGGGGAACAGCCCAAACUCUUUUCAGUGUUUGUUGGGGCGGCGCGAUGUUUAAUUAUAUCUCGUCAAACCGAUGAUAAAGGCGCAGGCCGUUGCUGAUUUGAGGGUUGUAAGGCAAUUGCGUUUUUGUUUCUUGCGAAAUAAAGGAUUAGUUACAAAGAUUGUUGUUAGCCAAAUGCCACUGGAAAGCGGCAACCAAAGAAGGUGAUAGUCCUGUCGGUGAAAACAAUAAUCCUAAUCAGCGAUUGUUCUUGAGUAAAGCGAGACACGUGAAAUCUUGCUUGAAGCCGGGUCGACUAUGAUCCAAGGCUAAAUAUUUUUGGCGAUCGAUAGUGAACUAGUACCAUGAGGGAAAGGUUAAAAGCACCCCGGUGAGGGGGAUGAAAUAGUAUCUGAAACCACAUGCUGACAUAGAAUGGGAGCAUUUCGCUUCACUUUGCGUUCUGAACGAUUUUUAAUUUUAAAUUUUAAAAUAAAUCUAAAUUUUAAAUUUUUAAACAUUGGAAUUUAAAAAUUAUUUAAAAAUUAAAAAUUGGAAAUUAAAAAUUGGAACACGGAGCGAAGCGAAGUGUGACCGUGUGCCUAUUGAAGAAUGAGCCAACGAGUUUGUGUAUGUUACUUGUUUAACCCCGCAUUGCGGGAGAAGGCAAAGGGAAACCAAGUCUUAACUGGGCGUAUACCUUUUAAUAUUAUUGGCUUGACCUUUAAGCUAAUAAUAUUAAAAUGGUAAGGUAGCAUGUACAAGACCCGAAACCAGGCGAGCUAGCCAUGGACAGGAUGAACCCUGAGUAAAAUCAGGAGGAGGUCCGUACCCACCAGCCGUGCAACACUGGGGGAUGAGCCGUGGUUAGGGGUGAAAUUCCAAUCGAGCUUGGUAAUAGCUGGUUCUCCUCGAAAUAGCUUAUGGGCUAGCGUCUUUUGUUCGCACCCAGGGGUAGAGCACUGGAAGGAAGUGGAGUGGUUCGCCAUAUCCCUUUCUAUCAAACUCCGAAUACUGGGUGUUUAAAAAGGCAGUCAGACUACGGGGGCUAAGAAAGCGUAAUAGCUCACUAGUCAAGAAUUUCUGCGCCGAAAAUUUACCGGGGCUAAAACGUAGUACCGAAACUAAGGGUCCCGAUUUUAUGUCGGGGCGGUAGAGGAGUGUUCUAUAUCCGUUGAAGUCGUUUCCGUGAGGAACGGGGGAGGAUAUAGAAGUAAGAAUGUUGGCAUGAGUAGCAAAAAGGCCGGUUGGAAACCGGCCCACCGAAAAUCCAAGGUUUCCUGGGCAACGUUAAUCGGCCCAGGGUUAGGCGAUCCUAACAAAGUCGGGAUGAAGAAGCAAAGCCUCCGGGUAGAGCGAAUUUCCAGUAACAGGGUGCCGGGAAAAGAUGCGUUGUUAAGUAUAUGUGCAACCGUACCGUAAACCGACUCAGGUGUCCCUGCUAAAGUCGUAAGACUAUGUAUAGGGGCUGAUGCCUGGCCAGUGUCAGAACGUUAAGCAGAGAGGUGCAAGCCUUGAAGCCAAGCGCUGAUGAACGCCGGCGAUAACUAUAAUCGUCCUAAGGU